UCUGAUUAGCUAGUUGGUAGGGUAAAAGCCUACCAAGGCAUCGAUCAGUAACUGGUCUGAGAGGAUGACCAGUCACACUGGGACUGAGACACGGCCCAGACUCCUACGGGAGGCAGCAGUGGGGAAUUUUCCGCAAUGGGCGAAAGCCUGACGGAGCAAUACCGCGUGAGGGAGGAAGGCUCUUGGGUUGUAAACCUCUUUUCUCAGGGAAGAACAAAAUGACGGUACCUGAGGAAUCAGCAUCGGCUAACUCCGUGCCAGCAGCCGCGGUAAUACGGAGGAUGCAAGCGUUAUCCGGAAUGAUUGGGCGUAAAGCGUCCGCAGGUGGCUGCUUCAAGUCUGCUGUCAAAGCUCAGGGCUUAACCCUGAAUCGGCGGUGGAAACUGAACAGCUAGAGUGCGGUAGGGGUAGAGGGAAUUCCCAGUGUAGCGGUGAAAUGCGUAGAGAUUGGGAAGAACACCAGUGGCGAAAGCGCUCUGCUGGACCGCAACUGACACUCAUGGACGAAAGCUAGGGGAGCGAAUGGGAUUAGAUACCCCAGUGGUCCUAGCCGU
rnacentral:rRNA from 1 species